rnacentral:rRNA from 1 species
AUACGGAGGAUGCGAGCGUUAUCCGGAUUUAUUGGGUUUAAAGGGUGCGUAGGCUGUGCGUUAAGUCAGGGGUGAAAUGCCGUCGCUCAACGACGGAGCUGCCCUUGAUACUGUCGUGCUGGAGUACGGAUGCCGUUGGAGGAAUGAGUGGUGUAGCGGUGAAAUGCUUAGAUAUCACUCAGAACACCGAUUGCGAAGGCAUCUGACGAAUCCGUCACUGACGCUGAGGCACGAAAGCGUGGGGAUAGAACAGGAUUAGAUACCCUGGUAUUCCACGCCGUAAACGAUGAUGACUAACCGUCGGCGAUAGACAGCCGGUGGCCAAGCGAAAGCGAUAAGUCAUCCACCUGGGGAGUACGGCGGCAACGAUGAAACUCAAAUGAAUUGACGGGG